UUAACCUACGGGGGGCAGCAGUGGGGAAUAUUGCACAAUGGGGGAAACCCUGAUGCAGCGACGCCGCGUGAGUGAUGAAGUAUUUCGGUAUGUAAAGCUCUAUCAGCAGGGAAGAAAAUGACGGUACCUGACUAAGAAGCACCGGCUAAAUACGUGCCAGCAGCCGCGGUAAUACGUAUGGUGCAAGCGUUAUCCGGAUUUACUGGGUGUAAAGGGAGCGUAGACGGAGAGGCAAGUCUGAUGUGAAAACCCGGGGCUCAACCCCGGGACUGCAUUGGAAACUGUUUUUCUAGAGUGUCGGAGAG
rnacentral:rRNA from 1 species